GAUGAAGAACGUAGCGAAAUGCGAUAAGUAGUGUGAAUUGCAGAAUUCAGUGAAUCAUCGAAUAUUUGAACGCACAUUGCGCCCUUUGGUAUUCCUUAGGGCAUGCCUGUUCGAGCGUCAUUUAAACCUUCAAGCUAAGCUUGGUGUUGGGUGACUGUCCGCUUCACUGCGGACUCGCCUCAAAAUUAUUGGCGGCCGGUACAUUGGCUUCGAGCGCAGCAGAAACGCGAACUCGGGCCCGUCGUAUUGGCUCCCAGAAGCUAUCUUCACAAUUUUGACCUCGGAUCAGGUAGGGAUACCCGCUGAACUUAAGCAUAUCAAUAAGCGGAGGA
rnacentral:misc_RNA from 1 species